AAUUCGAUUGAGUUUGAUCAUGGCUCAGGAUGAACGCUGGCGGCGUGCCUAAUGCAUGUAAGUCGCACGCGCUGGCCUUCGGGUCAGCGAGUGGCGGACGGCUGAGGAACACGUGGGUGAUCUGCCCCGGGGUGGGGGACAACGCCGCGAAAGCGGUGCUAAUCCCGCAUACGAUCCGCGAGGAUGAAAGCCGUUUCGACGGCGCCCUGGGAGGAGCCUGCGGCCCAUCAGGUAGUUGGCGGGGUAAUGGCCCACCAAGCCGGUGACGGGUCCCUGGUCUGAGAGGACGACCAGGCAGACUGGGACUGAGACACGGCCCAGACUCCUACGGGAGGCAGCAGCAAGGAAUUUUCCCCAUUGGGCGCAAGCCUGAGGGAGCAACGCCGCGUGGAGGACGACGGCCUUCGGGUUGUAAACUCCUUUUUCGGGGGACGAUACUGACGGUACCCUGGGAAUAAGCCCCGGCUAACUCCGUGCCAGCAGCCGCGGUAAUACGGAGGGGGCAAGCGUUGUCCGGACUUACUGGGCGUAUAGGGUGCGUAGGCGGCCCGGUGCGUCGGUGCUGAAAGCGCCCAGCUUAACUGGGCGAGGCGUGCCGAUACGACUGGGCUGGAGCGGCAGCGAGGGUGGCGGAACUCCUGGUGUAGUGGUGAAAUGCGUAGAGAUCAGGAAGAACACCCGUGGCGCAAGCGGCCACCUGGCUGCCGGCUGACGCUGAGGCACGAGAGCGUGGGGAGCAAA
rnacentral:rRNA from 1 species